UACGUGGGUGGCAAGCGUUGUCCGGAAUUAUUGGGCGUAAAGCGCGCGCAGGCGGUCCCUUAAGUCUGAUGUGAAAGCCCACGGCUCAACCGUGGAGGGUCAUUGGAAACUGGGGGACUUGAGUACAGAAGAGGAAAGCGGAAUUCCACGUGUAGCGGUGAAAUGCGUAGAGAUGUGGAGGAACACCAGUGGCGAAGGCGGCUUUCUGGUCUGUAACUGACGCUGAGGCGCGAAAGCGUGGGGAGCAAACAGG
rnacentral:rRNA from 1 species